GGAGAGGUGGCAGAGCGGUUGAAUGCGGCGGUCUUGAAAACCGUUAGGGACUCACGUCCCUCGGGGGUUCGAAUCCCUCCCUCUCCGCCA
rnacentral:tRNA from 2 species